rnacentral:rRNA from 1 species
GAGUAGAAUCCUCUGGAAAGUGGAACCAUAGACGGUGAUAGUCCGGUAUACGAAGUCAAAUUAAGCGUAGUGGUAUCCUGAGUAGCGCGGGACACGAGAAAUCUUGCGUGAAUCUGCCGGGACCAUCCGGUAAGGCUAAAUACUCCCGAGAGACCGAUAGCGAACCAGUACUGUGAAGGAAAGGUGAAAAGCACUUCGAAUAGAAGAGUGAAAUAGUCCCUGAAACCGUGCGCCUACAAGCGGUCGGAGCUGCGUAAGCAGUGACGGCGUGCCUUUUGCAUAAUGAACCUACGAGUUACUUUUUCCGGCAAGGUUAAGCAUCUUGAGAUGUGCAGCCGAAGCGAAAGCGAGUCUGAACAGGGCGUCGAGUCGGAAGGAGUAGACGCGAAACCAAGUGAUCUACCCUUGGUCAGGUUGAAGGUUAGGUAACACUAACUGGAGGACCGAACCGAUAAGCGUUGAAAAGCUUCCGGAUGAACUGAGGGUGGGGGUGAAAGGCUAAUCAAACUUGGAGAUAGCUCGUACUCCCCGAAAUGCAUUUAGGUGCAGCCUUGUGAGUUACUAAUGUGAGGUAGAGCGACUGAUAAGAUGCGAGGGCUUCACCGCCUAUCAAGUCUUGAUAAACUCCGAAUGCGCAUUAGUUCUAUCACAGGAGUGAGGGCAUGGGUGCUAAGGUCCAUGUCCUAAAGGAGAAGAAUCCAGACCAUCAGCUAAGGUCCCCAAAUAAACACUAAGUUGAACUAACGAAGUCAGAUUGCUAAGACAGCUAGGAUGUUGGCUUGGAAGCAGCCAUUCAUUUAAAGAGUGCGUAACAGCUCACUAGUCGAGGAGUUUGGCGUGGAUAAUAAUCGGGCAUUAAGUGUUUUACCGAAGCUAUGGGAUCAGUAAUGAUCGGUAGGGGAGCAUUCCACUCUGCGUCGAAGGUGAAGCGUGAGCUUUGCUGGAGCGUGUGGAAAAGCAAAUGUAGGUAUAAGUAACGAUAAAGGGGGUGAGAAACCCCCUCGCCGAAAGACUAAGGUUUCCUGAUCAACGCUAAUCGGAUCAGGGUUAGUCGGGUCCUAAGGCUCAGCCGAACGGUGAGGCCGAUGGCAGAACAGGUUAAUAUUCCUGUACUACCUUAAGGAGUGACGUGGAGACGGAGGCGUGACAGCGCCGCGGACUGACGGAAUAGUCCGUUGAAGGGUGUAGAUG